rnacentral:pre_miRNA from 1 species
AGGCAGAGCAAUCUGUCUUUAAGUAGGGAUAAAUUACUCUAAAAAGAGUAAUUUUCUAGAUAGUUUUCCCUUGAGUCACGCAUCUUGU